CCGACUCCCACUGUGGGGAUUAGGGAUGUGUGAGCAGAGUCUUAGCGACUAGCUUCUCCUCCUCCCCAUAUCAACACCCUUCAAUGCUGACUUCUCAAAGUAUGGUGCUAGGGCGUCACCUGGAAGCUUGUUACGCCUCUCCCCAGAACUACUGUGUCCGAAACUGCAUUUAAACCAGAUCCUCGGGGGAUUUAGAGCUGGUUAACAAAAUGACCAGAGGAUUAAAGUUUGGAAAUCUCCAAUUUCGACUAUAUUGAUUACAUUGCCUGCGUGUUCAACAACUCUGACAAUAUUUGACCCAAUAAACGAGUGCCCAGCAAGGUCAAAGCACAACUUUACUGUGUUGAAAGCUCGCUUUAUUGCAUGAAAUUGGAGCGCUGAGCUCAGUGGAGAUUCUGACUGAGAGCACGGUCAGGUAUUAUAGAAGAGUCUCAGUGACUGGGGGAGUGGGCUGCCAGCCAACACCCCCGUGCG
rnacentral:lncRNA from 10 species